UAGGGAAUCUUCGGCAAUGGACGGAAGUCUGACCGAGCAACGCCGCGUGAGUGAAGAAGGUUUUCGGAUCGUAAAGCUCUGUUGUUAGAGAAGAACGUUGGUAGGAGUGGAAAAUCUACCAAGUGACGGUAACUAACCAGAAAGGGACGGCUAACUACGUGCCAGCAGCCGCGGUAAUACGUAGGUCCCGAGCGUUGUCCGGAUUUAUUGGGCGUAAAGCGAGCGCAGGCGUUUCUUUAAGUCUGAAGUUAAAGGCAGUGGCUUAACCAUUGUACGCUUUGGAAACUGGAGGACUUGAGUGCAGAAGGGGAGAGUGGAAUUCCAUGUGUAGCGGUGAAAUGCGUAGAUAUAUGGAGGAACACCGGUGGCGAAAGCGGCUCUCUGGUCUGUAACUGACGCUGAGGCUCGAAAGCGUGGGGAGCAAACAGG
rnacentral:rRNA from 1 species